GAUCCUUUCGCCGCAUCUGCGCAGUGCUGAGAAGGUAGUCCAGGAGGAAGUUUUUUUUGUUGCUCCUCGCUCGCAUUCUGUCGCUCGACGUACAGCGGAAGAGGUGAUACUGAGAGGAAAGACAGUGUCGCUCUCAAUCUCACGAAAACAUAACACGAAAACACUAUGUCUGAUGAAGGGAAGAUUUUUGUUGGUGGGCUGAACUUUGAAACAGAUGAACAAUCAUUGGAGCAGUUGUUUUCCAAGUAUGGCGAGGUUCGUGAUGUACUUGUGAUCAAAGAUAAAGAGACACACAAAUCUAAAGGGUUUGGUUUUAUUACUUUUGAAAAUCCUGACGAUGCAAAGGACGCCUUGACCAUGAAUGGAAAGGAAGUUGAUGGUCGGCAAAUUCGUGUAGACCAGGCAGGAAAAGGCUCUAGCGGACGAUCUCGGAAUUACCAAGGCAGUCAGUCACGAAGUUACGGAUUUCGUGGAGGAAGAGGUGGCCGUGGAUCUUACAGAGAUGGUGACAGAAGUGGACGAAACAAUUACAGAAAUGACUACUCUUCCAGUUCUAGGAGCCAAAACUCUGGUUCGUACGGCUCUAACAAUUCAUCCUCAAGGACCUACCGGGAUGACUACGAUAAUUAUGGUAAGUACAUCUAUGACAGAUGAAAAAGGAGUUAAUUCCAAUAUUGUCUGCCACAGAUAUUAGGGUGCCUUAUCAGAUAUUCUAAUGUUUGAGAUUGGUUUAAUAUCGGCAGUUAGGCCAUUAAAGGAAGCUUCCAAUGCAUUGGAAUUUAACUGAAAACAAUUACGGUUAGAAAAGUGUAUUGUAUCGUAACUAUUAAAUUAUUGGGUUUAAGAAUAUCAAUGUUUUUCAUUUCACAAUGAUUUCUUUGUUGGAAAUCCAAGAACUUUGCUGGCAUGCAUUUUCCAUUCUGUUCAGUGCCUAUGAACAAGUGGGAUUCAAUUUUAUGGGGGAAAAAUACAUGCCUCAUCAUCUUUGGGUAAAUAAGGUUUUUUAUUUCGGGGUUCUUUUGCCUUUUCUCAAAAGUGCUUGGGCAUCAAGUUGCAAAAGCGACAUGUUUACUUCCUGUACAUCUGAACUUGUACAAUUGUACAAUAUUGAACAUUGCUAAUAGUAACUUUUGUGGUAAGAGUUAAUGCGCAAGAUUUCACUUAAUUUAGUGAAGCUAUAGUAGUCGUUGAGAUUUGCGAUUCAAUUUAUCUGCAAAUGCACUUGUUUUCUUGAAAUGCAUCCUUUCCUCUAGACAAGAAUUGGAAGCUGGGAGAAAGAUUAAUACAUUUCUGAACGGCUGCGGUUGUUUGAAUGAAAAUAAACGAGAGUAAUUUCUUAAUUGAUAGUCAAACUAUAUUUGGGGUAUUUUUAAAAUCUGGAAUUAUUACACAAGUAUGGUGCUGCAUUUUUUUGAGAGGAAAUACUGUGGAAGAGGAUUUUGAAAAAAGUCUUUGUUCAAUUUAUACUUUUUAAUAGAAUGUGUUUUAAGACUCUCCUAUCAGUUUUGCAAAUUAGUUAAAUUCAAAAUGCGGAAUCCAGAUUGCUGGUAUUUUCCACUCCCAAUUUUUUCCCCUCUAUUUUCAAAGUUCAAUUUUGAGAGUUGAAUAAAAGAGUGUUACUAUUUGUUAUGCAUUCUUACAGAAAAUACUGGAUAUUCUCCAGUAUUGAUCACUUGAGUCUGUUUCUCUGCAAAUAUUUCUAAACCAAAUUUCACAAGAUGAGAAAAUCACAUCCAGACAACAAAAUUCACAAAUGAAAAUUUUGUUAUAUCCUCGAAGACUGGAAUAAUGUUCUGUCCAAUAUAUAUUUGUCUUUUGGGCCAAUGAAUUCUAGAAUUUUAAAAUGUUAUUUCUGCGCCAUUUUUACCUUGCCUACUACUAUCUAGCAGAAUGAGUUUUGUUUAUUAAAAUGUGUUAGAUAACAUUAUUGGAGUUAUUGAGGCAGAUUAAAGCUGAAAUUGUGCUCCAUGGCAUUGAACAACUCAAAUUUUGUUAGCCCGAAGGUUUCCAAGAGUUGAGCACCAAAACUCUUAUUUCACAGUAAACGGCACAUCUAAUUAGCAUGUUAUUUCCGUGUUGUAGUUCCAUGGUUAAACUAUUUUCCAAGUUUACAAACUGUUUUCUUCAGCAAUAACAGCUUCCUCGACGACAUUUUGCUUUCUACUGGUUUUUUUUGACCAAUGAUAGUUUGUUUUUUUAAAGCUUUUCUUGAUAUCUCUCUUCUACCUACAUACGUCAACUUUAUCGUAACUUGUUAUGUGGGUGUUACCAUGAGGUCUUCAGUGGUAUUUGAUAUUGCUUUUGGGAGAAGGUGUUUCAUCUGCUAACUGCAUUCCUACACUUCUUUCCCUUUUGGCUUCAACCAAAAAAGACGGGAAAAUUUAGCAGAAAAGCUCUGACAAUAGACUUCCAAUGGAAUCUUGUGCUAGCUACCCCAAUUGUUUUAAAUAUACUUGUGUUGGAGCCUAUAUGGUUCUGACACCUAAUUUAGCAUGUAGUUGAUUAAUGCAAUUGACAUGGAAAAUUAAUGCCUGUCCAUUACUGUUUUUAGUCUGAUAGAAUAUGGGGAAGCUGAAUUAAAAAUGUAUUAUGAAUUCUUUACCUUGUCCAUGCUUCUCCUCCUCCAGCUACAAAUGAAUAAUCAAUCUCCUUGAAUCAAGAUCAUCAUCCUUUUGGCUCUUGAGUUUUGGAACAGCAGAAAGCAGUUGUCUUCUGAACUUGUCUGUUUAAUAUUAUCAAAUUUAUUGACAGUAACUUCUGACUUGAAUGUGCAUUUACUUUUAGGUCAACACUGACCAUUUCAGUUUAUUUAUCACAAAAUUUUCACGUUCAGGCCGAUAGGCUAUAAAGACAGACCUGAUCACUCUUCUUUUUGCCCUUUUUAUCCAUUUUUUUCCUUUGCAUUUUUGAUGCUUGGCCUUUUCCAUUUGCUAUCUAUAAUCAGUAGGCUUUUUUUCCGGAGUUGCAGAGUAUUUGACUUUUUUUGGAAUAAAUUUAUACAUGGACUUUCCUGAUGGUAAAUCAACAUUCAGUCGUUCUGCCUGUCACUGAAAAUUGCUGUAGAAUGUUCAAAGCUGCUGGAUCUUGCAUACUUUACAUGUUUAGAAACAAUUUACAAAACUGCAUUCAUUUCUGAUGGGCUUGUUUUUGGAAAAUUAUAUACUGAUAAGUUGGUCAUUUAUUCAUGCUGUAUUUCGUGCUGAGGAUGAAACCUUUUUUUUGUAUACACUUGGUUUUUUGGAAACUGAUUAAAGAACUUGCCCAAAGAUCUUGUGGCUUUUAAUCAACCGUAAGUGCUAUAGUGAAUCCUGUUAACAGAAGUUUGGGGUGUCUGGAUGAAGAACAUGUAAUCCAAUUAUUAACUUAUUACUAUUUGCACUUUAAGCUCAAUAUUUUUUUAUUUAGUGCAUGAAGAUUUACCAAAAAGUACGAGGAAAUCAAAUACAUUCCUAAAAAGCAAUUAGUUUAUAUAAUAGCUCUAUGAUUAAAAACCUUUCUAUAGUGGUAGAAAUUCAGAUUUGACAAGAUUAGAAACCACUGAGUACCCUAUACUUUGAACAGUGAGGAUAUUUGGGACUGACAUUUUGGAGGUGAUAUGCAAGGAAAAUGAAAUCAUGGUCUUUUUACAAAUUAUUUCUUCCUUAAGACGUUACCCUAGUACUCCCACUCUCUAGCUGAGCUCAUCUUUAUUAAACUUUUAUUAAACUAAAACCUUGUAUCAUUAAAUUUAUUUUUUAGGAAAGCAUUUUAGUUUAAAUAUAAGAAACCACUUGGCUCACUCUAUUUAACUAGUAUAUUAACAAAUUGUGAUGUGACUAAUUUUAUAGAUAAAGGAAUGUCCAUUAUAGAUUAAACAACCGUGUUAGUGUGAUUAAUUAAAAUGAAUUCAUUUUGCAUAACUGUUCAAGAAAUUCCCAACACCAUUGUGGAAAAGUAGCCAAUUGACACUUUGGGUGGAGAUGUAAAUCACUGUUCUAUCAAAAUGCUGAAGAUUUUUAAAAUGGUUCUAGUUUGGAACUUAAACUCUUCCACCUUUCUCCCCUUCCCCAAGUAUUUUGGAUUCUCACCUGUGAGUACUUCCUGCUUGCAUUGACCUUUUAACCCUGUGCAGUAAUAACAUUAAGAUAUCAACCCAUAUUUCCUGUCAAAGAUUUUUCAUAUACUUUAUAAAGUCAAGAUUUUUGCUGGCUCUGAUGAAAGUAGUGGCAUUGAAGAAUGACGUAUUCCUCCUGCAAAGAAACUUCAGCUGGUUAUGACUAAUGCACCAAUGGAUAUAAGCAUAGCCUCGAGGUAACUCCUUUUGCUCUUGUGCAAUGUCCACUAUCCCAUUUUGUUAAGCUGAUCCAUUUUCAAUGUUAUGGUGAUGUUCUCAGAAUAAACCAGUGUUUUUUCUCCUUGGAUCCUUUUAUUUGGUUGCAUUGCCAUCAGUUCCAACAGACACAACUUUCCCUUCUGUAUACAGCAGAUGACUUGUUUCCAUUCAAUGCAGGAUGUAUGUGAACAUGACAUUGUCUACAUAAUAUCCUGGGCUUGUGAUUAAACGCAACAAUAUGGAUGUGAAGGUCAACAGUAGUACAGUUGAGCAAAAUAAGGAGAAGAAUUUUCUGAAGCAAUUUUUAUCAAAUACCAAUUUCAUGUAAAUUAUUGUCAAUUUUAUAUAGCAAAAUUUCCAGAUUGUGGUUCGUCCUCAGGUUUCAGUCGGCCCCGCAUCCCACAAGCAAUGGGUGAUAUUACGUUUUAUAAUUUUGUCAUUGAAUAAAUUCAUUUUAAGUGUAUCAUUUGUAGACUUGCCGUGCUAACUUUAGGAAGUUGGAAUAUAGGGUAUUUUGGGUUGUUGAACACUUACAAAGUGACUUCAUAUCAGAAAAAACAACUAUAGAUUUGGACAACUGACCAUUUUUAUGUUUACAUCUUAGAGUCUCUCCUUGCCCUCCUCCAUUGUCACAACUAAAACUGAUAUCUGAGAGCAGUAGGUUCCAUUCUGGCCCUCAAAUGGACAUGGCACUUUCAAGAAGAGCAUUAGACCUGUCCUUUGUACCAGGUCAGCAUUGCCUCUAAAUCAGAAUUAAAUAUUGUAAUCAUGUAUGAGCGAGCUUGCUGUGUGCAGCUAUCUCCCACGCUAUAAUAUUGCUCUAAUUCAAAACAAGUCCUUUUGGGACAUGAUAAGGUUAUGACAUGCACUGUAAAUACAUGUUUUUUAAAUUGGAGGUAAAUGUUAUGUAACUUACAAAGCUGUACACAUCUCAUGAAUUUGUAAUACUUUAGAUUUUAAACUGUUUUUCAAGUGGGGUCUAAUUUUAGGUUUUAUAGUACAACUUAAUUGUGCAGAAGUCUUCUGCUUAUAUACAAUAUUUUUGAUGUAUGUAUUGAAAAUAUAAGAAAUUAAUACUAAUUUAUUCUAUUUUUAGAAUAAAAAAAGGUGAAGAGAAAAGACUUGUGGUUCAAUUUUUGGAAGAGAUGAUGUCGCAUUCAAUGAAUACUGAUCCUUCUGUUGGGAAGAAAAAGAAGAAAAAUUGAAAAAAAAAUUAAUGUAGUUGCAGUUAGGUAACUGGAGACCAUUUCAAUAAAAUUGUCCAGCAUAGUUUGUUUUCUCCUGUUUUAAACUGAAAUCGAGGAGACUACAAAACUAUUGAUUGCACUAAACUAUGAAAGCACUCCCUUGCAUGGCAAGAGAAACCCGUUGUCUCAUGUACUUUCCCAAUGAACCAAGUUUGUGCACACUUUGGAUAUUAAUUUUUCCUUCAUACUUUUGCAUCAAUUCCUUUUCAAAAAUGUUCCAUUUAGCUGAGUAUUACUAAAUCAGAUUCUAAUUCUAUAUCCCCGAUUAAUUUAGAAAAGAAACCAACGUUGUACUGUAAAUGAAGACUUUCCUUAUUGUUAAAAUGUAUUUCAAUUAAAUGUUUUAGUUCUAUUGAACAUGGUUAAUGUUUUUUACUUUAACAAUUAAAAAUGAUUGAAACUCUAUGAACAAA